GGGGAUGACAGGUCUCGACAGGGAGGGCUGGCCCGCGAUUGCAAGCCGAGGCGCCUCACCCUCGUAAAUCAGGGGCAAAACUACAAGUGCCAACAGAGCACAGACUCCGGCGUACGCCUACGCCAUGGCUGCCUAAGCGGCAGCUAGGGCGCAGACGGCGCCCGAUCACCUAGCGUGAUCACGCUCGCCCCGGGUGCACCCCGCUGGCUCGGGGACGGGCGCCAGGCACAGCGGGGUGCGGCCCGUCGACGCCGAUAGGCGGGUCUAAGCCGCAGGCGAUGAGUCUGCGGGAUCGGCUGGCUCUCCGGGAACUCGGUCGGUGGAGGUCCGGGAGAGCGAGACCCCGAAACGCCGACUAAGCUUGUAGUAGAUCGCUGGUCGAACUUUCUGGACGCGGGUUCGAUUCCCGCCAUCUCCACCU
rnacentral:tmRNA from 1 species